CUCUCGCUCUCUGUCUAUUUGAAAGUGUGUGUGUGUGUGUGUGUGUCGAAGCUCGCUCGCGGCAGCGGUCGAGCUGCUGCUUGGGCUGAUUAGUUUAGUUUGUGAUUUCAAUAUAAUUAAUUUCUGUUUCUGUAGCGGUUCGUUCGGACGUCGAACGUACGCUCGCUCGCUCGCUCGCCCGUUCGCUCGUUCGCCCGUUCGCCCGCUUGUUCCGAUUGCUGGCUUCGCUUUCAGCUUCAGCUACAGCUACAGCUACAAUUGUUGUGAUUCAGUUUCUGUUUUCUGUUUUCUGCGUUCCGUUCAUAUCGCCUUCGUCUUCGUAACUAUUUUUUUUUUCAUUUUUUUUUAUUUUUUAAAAUAUUUUUUUUGCCGUUUGCUGAUUCGCUUUUGUAGCCGAGCGCGCGCGCUCUCUUCUCAAAUGUGGGCAUCGAACUCGGAACUCGAAAUCGAAAUUGCAAUCGGUAUAUCGGUAAUCGAAAAUGUGCAACAAUUGCUCAAAAAUGCAUAUUCCCUGUGAGUGUGCGUGUGUGUGUGUGUAAACAGCUGAGGAUAACGCCAUCUUGUGGUUUGAGAGCGACUGCAACAAAUGUUGAACAAGACAACAUUCAACAACAUGAAAUAUAUAGUUCACAAUAAGUUAAUGUAACAACAAUGAACACCAGCCGACAGCAGUGCGACAAAACAACAACAACAACAUUUACCUCUACGCCGCAACAGCUGUACAAAUAUUAACAAACAAAAUAAAAUAUACAAUAAUUUAAAGCGAAAAAACAACAACAACCAGUGCAAAACUCCCAAGUCAACUUAAGAAAAAUAAGCAGCAGCAGCUGCAGCAACACAAAUAUGCAUACAUAAAAAUAAAAUA
rnacentral:misc_RNA from 1 species